GAUGAACGCUGGCGGCGUGCCUAAUACAUGCAAGUCGAGCGAACGGACGAGAAGCUUGCUUCUCUGAUGUUAGCGGCGGACGGGUGAGUAACACGUGGAUAACCUACCUAUAAGACUGGGAUAACUUCGGGAAACCGGAGCUAAUACCGGAUAAUAUUUUGAACCGCAUGGUUCAAAAGUGAAAGACGGUCUUGCUGUCACUUAUAGAUGGAUCCGCGCUGCAUUAGCUAGUUGGUAAGGUAACGGCUUACCAAGGCAACGAUGCAUAGCCGACCUGAGAGGGUGAUCGCCCCCACUGGAACUGGGACACGGUCCAGACUCCUACGGGAGGCAGCAGUAGGGAAUCUUCCGCAAUGGGCGAAAGCCUGACGGAGCAACGCCGCGUGAGUGAUGAAGGUCUUCGGAUCGUAAAACUCUGUUAUUAGGGAAGAACAUAUGUGUAAGUAACUGUGCACAUCUUGACGGUACCUAAUCAGAAAGCCACGGCUAACUACGUG
rnacentral:rRNA from 1 species